UUAGAAUUGACGGGGAGCACCACAACGGGUGGAGCCUGCGGUUUAAUUGGACUCAACGCCGGGCAGCUCACCGGAUAAGACAGCUGGAUGAUAGCUGGGCUGAAGACUCUGCUUGACUAGCUGAGAGGAGGUGCAUGGCCGUCGUCAGUUCGUACUGUGAAGCAUCCUGUUAAGUCAGGCAACGAGCGAGACCCACGCCCACAGUUGCCAGCGUACUCUCUGGAGUGACGGGUACACUGUGGGACCGCCGCUGCUAAAGCGGAGGAAGGAAUGGGCAACGGUAGGUCAGUAUGCCCCGAAUAUCCCGGGCUACACGCGAGCUACAAUGGUUGGUACAAUGGGUAUCUACCCCGAAAGGGGACGGGAAUCUCCUAAAACCAAUCUUAGUUCGGAUUGAGGGCUGCAACUCGCCCUCAUGAAGCUGGAAUCCGUAGUAAUCGCGUUUCAACAGAACGCGGUGAAUACGUCCCUGCUCCUU
rnacentral:rRNA from 1 species